rnacentral:rRNA from 1 species
UACAGAGGUCUCGAGCGUUGUUCGGAUUCAUUGGGCGUAAAGGGCGCGUAGGCGGCGGGGUAAGUCUGGUGUGAAAAUCUCGGAGCUCAACUCCGAAAUUGCACUGGAUACUGCUCUGCUAGAGGGCUGGAGAGGAGAUCGGAAUUCACGGUGUAGCAGUGAAAUGCGUAGAUAUCGUGAGGAAGACCAGUGGCGAAGGCGGAUCUCUGGACAGUUCCUGACGCUGAGGCACGAAGGCCAGGGGAGCAAACGGG